rnacentral:rRNA from 1 species
CUACGGGGGGCUGCAGUGGGGAAUAUUGCACAAUGGGCGCAAGCCUGAUGCAGCCAUGCCGCGUGUAUGAAGAAGGCCUUCGGGUUGUAAAGUACUUUCAGCGGGGAGGAAGGGAGUAAAGUUAAUACCUUUGCUCAUUGACGUUACCCGCAGAAGAAGCACCGGCUAACUCCGUGCCAGCAGCCGCGGUAAUACGGAGGGUGCAAGCGUUAAUCGGAAUUACUGGGCGUAAAGCGCACGCAGGCGGUUUGUUAAGUCAGAUGUGAAAUCCCCGGGCUCAACCUGGGAACUGCAUCUGUACUGGCAAGGUUGAGUCUCGUAGAGGGGGGUAGAAUUCCAGGUGUAGCGGUGAAAUGCGUAGAGAUCUGGAGGAAUACCGGUGGCGAAGGCGGCCCCCUGGACGAAGACUGACGCUCAGGUGCGAAAGCGUGGGGAGCAAACAGGAUUAGAUACCCGCGUAGUC